rnacentral:lncRNA from 1 species
AGGAUUCCACAUCAAAAUAAUCCCCCCACAUUGCCCAACAGAGGGGAUACAAAAACUACAAUUAAAACCCAGCCUCUGGACCAAGCGAUCAGCCUGAUCACGAGAGGAUCUGGAAUCUAAAAUGCACAAAACAUCUAAGCAAAGAGUACUGAUAUAAAACAGAAUUUGGAGAAUAAAGCCACGCCAGGCACUGCCUCGGCUAUUCCAGACUA